GGCGAUUUAGCUCAGCGGCAUAGCACCUGCUUUGCAAGCAGGCGGUCGUGAGUUCAAUCCCUG
rnacentral:tRNA from 1 species